UACGUAGGGCGCAAGCGUUGUCCGGAAUUAUUGGGCGUAAAGAGCUCGUAGGCGGUCUGUUACGUCCGCUGUGAAAACCCAGGGCUUAACCCUGGGCUUGCAGUGGAUACGGGUAGACUAGAGGCAGGUAGGGGAGAAUGGAAUUCCCGGUGUAGCGGUGAAAUGCGCAGAUAUCGGGAGGAACACCGGUGGCGAAGGCGGUUCUCUGGGCCUGACCUGACGUUGAGGAGCGAAAGCGUGGGGAGCGAACAGG
rnacentral:rRNA from 1 species